rnacentral:rRNA from 1 species
GACGAACGCUGGCGGCGUGCUUAACACAUGCAAGUCGAACGGAAAGGCCCUGCUUUUGUGGGGUGCUCGAGUGGCGAACGGGUGAGUAACACGUGAGUAACCUGCCCUUGACUUUGGGAUAACUUCAGGAAACUGGGGCUAAUACCGGAUAGGAGCUCCUGCUGCAUGGUGGGGGUUGGAAAGUUUCGGCGGUUGGGGAUGGACUCGCGGCUUAUCAGCUUGUUGGUGGGGUAGUGGCUUACCAAGGCUUUGACGGGUAGCCGGCCUGAGAGGGUGACCGGCCACAUUGGGACUGGGAUACGGCCCAGACUCCUACGGGAGGCAGCAGUGGGGAAUAUUGCACAAUGGGCGGAAGCCUGAUGCAGCAACGCCGCGUGCGGGAUGACGGCCUUCGGGUUGUAAACCGCUUUCGCCGGUGACGAAGCGUGAGUGACGGUAAUGGGUAAAGAAGCACCGGCUAACUACGUG